rnacentral:lncRNA from 14 species
CCACCAGGAGACCUCCUGCUUGCUCACAUGGACAUUGCUGCAUCAGCCUGUGCCCCUCGGCUGCUCCCGGCCUCUGCACAGGGGAUCCAAGGAGCCCACACACACGAGGCUUUGAGGGUAACUCCACGUAGAGGCAAGAUGCUGCCUGCCAGGGCUGGGAAACCACAUCCCCCCUGCCAGUGAGGUGGUGACAGCACCACAGCCCCUCUGACCCACCUCUUGCUCCUGCCCAGCCUCCCACGUGCAGGGGCAGCUCAUGCCCCUCAUUAGGCUAAUUACAGCCAGACUGAGGGAGCGGAUCCCCAGCUGUGGCUCAGAGGAGGGAUGCUGGCAGGGGACCAGGCGGGAGCUGCGGUCUGGACACGGAGCCCAGGAGCGUAUGGGGAUGGGGGGGGGCACCGGGAUGAAGCCAUCGCUGCUUCCAGCUCUGGAGAAGCCAGAACAGUUCCCAAGGGCCAUGGGGCAGUGUCCAACUGCAUCACCAUGGGGAGGGCUUCUCCCUGCUCUGCCCCAGCUUUCUGUCACCAAGCCAGUGACAUUCAAGAAGCUCAGGGGAGCAGCCACAGUGUACACGGCUCCGGCUCCACCGUGUCCUCACCUCCCACCCCAGGAGGAUGCAGCAGCCUCUCAGGCAGGAGCUGCACAGCCACAACCCACCAGCAGCAUCAGGCCUGAAAGGAGCUGGAUAACCAGGACAGGACCAGGGACAUGGAUUAAACCUGGCAGUGAAGCUACUGCCCCUGCUCAACCCCUACACCAAGGAGAAGCCUCAGUGCACCCUGGAGCUCACUCUUCCCCCAGCAUCUCCUACCAGCCCCCAAACACCCCAUGGGCAGGACCCAGCACAGCUGCUCCUAGGCACCAAAGGAGCCUGGUCCAGCAGAGCAAAGGGUUCUUACCUGCUCCCCGGCUGGGGGGGUCUCUGGCUGGAGGAGGGGGGCGACUGCUCUGGAGAGAUGGGGAGGCUGAAGCGGGUGGCAGCGGUGCCAGACCCCGCACGGGGCCCGGUGCCUUCCUGUGCAAGGAGUUGUGUCUCUGCGGCAGCUCCGGGGCGGAUUCAUUGAUGGGGCUGGAAGGGCCAUUGGGG